UUAUAUUAUGAUUUUAAUCUUGUUAUAUAUUCAAUGAAACUAUAUAACUAUUAAUAAAGGUAGAUGAGUCUCGGAUAAGUGAUGAUUAGAAUUGCCUACCCUAUUUAAUUCGUGAUUAUGGUCUGCCUGAAAUUCUUUGACUUCUAAAAAUUGUCCAGACUCAUAUACUCCCAAAGCGAACGAAAACUUGCGGUCUUGCUUUAUAGUACUAAAGGAAUUAUAAAAAAAUAAUGUAAACAAAAUACGUACUGAACAGCUCGUUGUCCACAGCCUUUUCCUUUGAAUUUUCUUCCACCAUGAACACAAGCAUAUUUUAAUUCAUAGUACUGAAGCUUGGGUUUUAUUAUUUUCGUUAAUCUUUUUUGUGAAGCCUUAACAGUUCGACUAUCUCUAACGUAGACAUCAAAAAAAUUCUUCUCUAAUUUUGUUUUCAAUUCUUGAAAAGUCGAAAUUUUUUCCCCAACAACAAAAGUAAUCGACGUAGUGAAUUUAUGCCUAUCGAGAUGCCGUAUCAAAACUAUAUAAUUCUUCAGCGAAAAAGAAUAUCUUCUCCGCGUAUGAAAGCAGUACAGCUGGUUUCUUCAAGAAAACUUCAAGCUUCUUGUUAUCUAGGCUCUUACUUAUUUAAUAUGUAAGGGUUUGUAUCCACGAAAUAAAAACCAGGCUUUUGCUUCUUUGAAACGAAACGUUCCAAACGGUCAAGGGAUUAAACAUGUAUUUCGCAAGAACCUCUCUAGGUUGAUUUUUCAGGGUAUGAAAAAUUACUAUUUCUAGUAAUACUUAUUUUAUCGUCUUCGUUGUCAAAAUAAAAUUUUACACAAAAAACUAGGAAGUUUGCUGAAAAAUCCUGUGCCGGUUCACUAGCUGUGAGCCGGAGAAUUCCGGUACCGGUUCAGUAGUUUUUCGAUGUACUAUUCCGGUACCGGUGCAGCAGACACUUCGAAAAUGAAAGUGUGUGGACAAAUCAAGGGAUAGGUAUAUUUCGUUUGUUUUGGGUUUGUAUUAGUCAUUUGUUUAUCUAUAUUAACUGGGUCAAGGUUUUAUUUUUUAUAUAUUCAAUUUUUACGUUUCUCUUAGGCAAAAAGUUUAUUAGUGCAAAAGCCCAUUAAUUUAGUCAGCUACAAAAUGGCAGCACAACUGUGUUUUCUGACCUAACAUGCAGAGAUGAUAGAUGUGCAUAUUUUACAUGGCUAGCCUCACAAAUAUCGAGGGAUAUACCCUGUCUAUUAUUUCCAGAAGGGGCCAUGGCGUAGAUGGAGAGUCCUAGAGUAUUUAAUGCUCAUUUUGAGCUACGCAGACCCAAUUAGAGCCCGCGCUCUACUAGACAACUCCCGGCAACAUCCAACGGCCCACACAGUGUGCCAUCUUCCCAAUUUCCCUCACAUGGCUUGGGUUAACCCAGGGCUAUGGUAACAUUCACUCGCCCAUGUUGAAUCGCCGUCAAGAGGAAUCGAACCCCGGUCUUCCGCACAGAGUACGAGAGCUAUAACCACUAAUCUACGGCGCCACAUCGAUUAUCGUGUUGCUUACAGACAUGAAUUUAUAAGAAAUCAUAUGGUCUUCGAAUUUUUCUAUCUUAUAUAAAUUUUUUUGGGUGAUAAAUUUGAAUAUGCCAUUCAUUUUUCUCAAAAGUUUCUAGUUUCCUUUUUCAAUAUAAUGUUAUUAAUCUGGAUCUGAGAAUACAACGAGAAACAUUUACCAUAAUUUAUUCUUGUAAUGUCGAGCGGUGGUAGUGAAAGAGUUCUGAAAAGAACUGUUUUUUAUAUCUUAUAUAUUCGAUAAAUAGCUGUAAUAAAAUUCCACAAAUAAUAAAUUGAGAGUACAACGACAAAAUAGCACCUUCCUUCUUCUCCACAAAAUUUAAAUGAGAACAAUAAGCUCGUGCGCGUUGCAUUUCGGGCAGUAUGGGACCGGCCCACACUUUUCCAUGGGGUUACACACAAAAGCAUUGAAAAAACCCAGAAAAACGCCUGCAACCCCCUUACAUAUACGGUGCUUUUUGGCAACUCGGCACCGUCUUGAAUACAACAUUCUCUGUUAUCUGCAGGCUAGAAACCAGCUAGCUAACAAAUUCUUUAUAUAUAUAUAAUCCACAAUAUUUCAUCCAUUGCAGAAAAAUUGACAAUGAACAAGACAAAUUUUACCUAAGUAAUAGACAAAGUAUAUAUAACUUAAAUAAUCAUAACAGCAGAAUUUUCAUAUAUAAUGGGGCUUUACCUUUAUUGAACAAUUAAUUACCAGGUUUUUCACGAUAGCCCAGAAACAUAAACAUAAGUUAUUUCCUUAGUCUAUUGUUUAUGGGAAAAGUGUGUUUUGUUUAUUAUCAAUGCUUCUCCCUUACAUGGUCAAAUUUGUUUUAGAUACUUUGGUAAUAUGCCAUACAUUAGAGUAAUACACUGCUGACAUUGAGUCUUUUUUAAAAAGUAAGGCUAUGAGGGGGAGAUGGCGGUAACAAGCAGAAAACGCUUCCUAUGCCUCUGUUACAAAAUUGGAAUUUUGAAUGAGGCAAAACCAAUUAAAAUAAAAAAGAGUUUGUGCAUCAAAUAUUAAUUGCACUAGGUGCGCAAGCACUACAAAUUUUGGGCCAACAGGAAGGUCAUUUCUUCUUAAAAAAACUUGACCUAAACAUCCAAAACAACCCCAACAUUCUCUCUAGGGCUCUUGCAACCAUUAUUUUACAUAACUGUCAGGCAUUCUGCAUUUUUUUUUUUCAAAUGGCUAAUGGUUUAUCUCUAACUAAAACCUGUGCAUUGUGAGCUAUAUUAUAUUUUAUAUUUUAUUUUAAUUUCAAAUAGUAACUGUUUGAUAUUUUAUGUGACAAAAAAAGAGCUUUGCGAACAAAGCGAAAUUGUGGAGCACGUUUGCUACACGAGAAUUAUUGAGAUUCUCAAAAUUUCAAUAGAAAAAAAAUCAUAUAAAAUCAGUGUAAAGAAAUAGGACUGAUAUUUUUGCACAUAAAGCUAGGGUAUUUUUUUUUCUAAUAAAACAAAUAAGUUUGGACCGAGGGGUUAAAGUAUAAGUUUAGUAAAAAAUGCAAUAAGUACGGCUCGUACUCCCCCCCCACCCCCGGGUUUUGACCCCCCCGUCUUUUGGUCCGGAUUAUACGUCCGCCGAACUUGAACACACAAAGAGCAAUAUGCCGUGAACAAGACACGGUAGUCGGCAUUUUAGACACUUAUAUUUUACAGACCCAAAAUAUGCCUUAUUUUUUUGUAUUAUAGCUAAUUAUUGUAUAAAUAAUUAAUUAAUUAUUUUGCAAUUUUGCUUCUAAUACUAUUAUAGUUGUAUUUUAAUGAAACAUAAUAGUAUUAAAACGGUUUUCUUCUUUUGAAAUAAUUUACUGCUAGUCCUGUUUCUAAUCGACUUUACUGGUGUAUUUUAAGCUUUUUUGUUGCUGUGCUUUUUCUGGAGAUUUUAGUUGGAUUGGAAAGCUCCUGUGUAAGGUACCCUUUCCUAAAGAAAUAUUGAAGUAAUUUGUACAAUUAUUACGCGCCGAGCUGUGUUUUAUUUUAUUGUUUCUAAGAAGAUGUAAGAAUACAAUAUUAUCAAUUUUAAUUGGUUUUAUCCAAAUCAAGAUUGUGUACAAUGGGAGUGAGUGAUGUAAUCUUCUAAUGCGUGUGGUGAAAAGAAGGCGAAACCGUUAUUGUUUUUCUGCCCAAAUUUGAAGCUAUUUAAUAAAUCUUGAUAAAGUUAAAAAACUGUUUUGA